UACAGAGGGUGCAAGCGUUGUUCGGAAUUAUUGGGCGUAAAGCGCGUGUAGGCGGCUUUGCAAGUCGGGUGUGAAAGCCCUCAGCUCAACUGAGGAAGUGCGCCCGAAACUGCAGAGCUUGAGUACCGGAGAGGGUGGCGGAAUUCCCCAAGUAGAGGUGAAAUUCGUAGAUAUGGGGAGGAACACCGGUGGCGAAGGCGGCUUGCUGGGCUUGGUCUGACGCUGAGGCGCGAAAGCGUGGGGAGCGAACAGG
rnacentral:rRNA from 1 species